rnacentral:rRNA from 1 species
CCUACGGGGGGCAGCAGUGGGGAAUAUUGCACAAUGGGGGAAACCCUGAUGCAGCGACGCCGCGCGAGUGAAGAAGUAAUUCGGUAUGUAAAGCUCUAUCAGCAGGGAAGAAAAUGACGGUACCUGAGUAAGAAGCCCCGGCUAACUACGUGCCAGCAGCCGCAGUAAUACGUAGGUGGCGAGCGUUAUCCGGAAUGAUUGGGCGUAAAGGGUGCGUAGGCGGCCUGCUAAGUCUGGAGUGAAAGGUACCGGCUCAACCGGUACAGGCUCUGGAAACUGGCGGGCUAGAGGGUAGGAGAGGGCGG